rnacentral:rRNA from 1 species
UUAUUGGAGAGUUUGAUCCUGGCUCAGGACGAACGCUGGCGGCGUGCCUAAUACAUGCAAGUCGAGCGGACUU